rnacentral:rRNA from 1 species
UACCAGCACCCCGAGUGGUCGGGACGAUUAUUGGGCCUAAAGCAUCCGUAGCCGGUUCUACAAGUCUUCCGUUAAAUCCACCUGCUUAACAGAUGGGCUGCGGAGGAUACUAUGGAGCUAGGAGGCGGGAGAGGCAAGCGGUACUUAGUGGGUAGGGGUAAAAUCCGUUGAUUCAUUGAAGACCACCAGUGGCGAAGGCGGCUUGCCAGAACGCACUCGACGGUGAGGGAUGAAAGCUGGGGGAGCAAACCGG